UACGAAGGGUGCAAGCGUUACUCGGAAUUACUGGGCGUAAAGCGUGCGUAGGUGGUUCGUUAAGUCUGAUGUGAAAGCCCUGGGCUCAACCUGGGAAUGGCAUUGGAAACUGGCGACCUAGAGUGCGGUAGAGGGUAGUGGAAUUCCCGGUGUAGCAGUGAAAUGCGUAGAUAUUGGGAAGAACACCGGUGGCGCAGGCGACUCGCUGGGCUGUAACUGACGCUGAGGAACGAAAGCUAGGGGAGCAAAUGGG
rnacentral:rRNA from 1 species